ensembl:lncRNA
UGAGUGCCACUGAGGAAGGUUCUCUCUCUGGAGAUUUCUCUUCUUGGAGUCUUUUCAGUGAGCCCAGGACAUGGCAGACGGAGAAGAGAAGAAGCACCUGCCUGCCCUCCCUCUCAAGCCCCCUGGUUUGUCUACUUAAUUUGCUGCAAAAUUGGAGGAAGCUCUAGAAAAAGUGGCUGGUUCAACUCACUGGACUUUGGCAAAUCACUUGGUCUGUGUCAGUUUCCCAGGUGCUAUCUGCAGAGAAGAUUGUAAACCUUGAAAUCAGCCUAAAUCUGGAGCUGCUUUUCCACAUGGAAUAAAAUCAAUGACCUUUCAUUCCACUGUUCACUUUCAAGGCAGGGGAACUUCUGGAUACAGCUCGUAAAUACCUGUUUCAGUGAAAAUUCACAACACUGGUACCAAUGCACCCUUCUUUCAAGCUGAGUUAUGAAAGAAGCCCUACUGCAGAAAACAAAUGAUUGAAACGUGUUACUGAAGCCAGUCGUCAAGGCCAGUGUUUCUAUAGGUCUUCAGGAAGUGACACAUUCUUGGAAGUUUUGAAUGGAUUAAGCAGAAAUGGAUGAGAGGAAUAAAUAUUUUCAAGUUCUACGGUUCACAGAAUUUUGUAUGUACUGAACAAGCUCAGCAGUAAAGAAUGCUUAGAGGGAAGACGUAAUGGGCUAAUUUUUUUCCCCCCAUCUUUUUACAGUCAGUUCUGUGUCAAAAUUUUAUUUUUUCUGAGAUCUGAAAGAAUUGUACUGUUGCUUAACAUGUAGAAAACAGAGAACUGAGUUAAUAUGGAUUUUUCUGUUGCUUGAACAAGGCCUGUUGAUGGCAAGUCUGAAAUAAGCUUGUGAAUGAAGUGAAAUAGAGGACCGAACUUUUUCUACCUCCUGACCAGAAAGGGUAGAACAGUUACCCACCGGAAACUUUGUGUUUCAAAUGGGAAUAAAAGCCAGAGCUAUUGCAGUGAACUUGUCUGUCCUUGUAGAGGUAGUGCACACAGGACAACAACAUCAGAACGUAACAAGAUGACUGAUGGGAUAACUGUGGUUCCCUUUCCUUGGGUAGGAUGAGGCCACCUACCACUACAGAACCUUCAAUACGGGGCCCAAACAUAACUGGCAGAAAUAUAGUGUUUAUAUAUAUAGAAAUUAAUUUUUUAAUCUUCUCAAUAAGUGAAAAAGAUCAGAUAAUCAAACUUGUGAAGUAAAAAAUUGAUGCUCUUUUUUUACUUGUACGUCUAUGUUUUUGUGAUACAAAUAAUUGGUAGUAGAAAUCUUCUGGGUCUCUUGUUUACUGUUUUAUAAAGUACUAUGCCAAUACCUGUGUGGCUGAUUCUGGAGGGUGUCUUGAUUUUGAUGGUGUGUUUCCAUGUGCAGAACAUAGUCACUUCAUUGGUGACAAUUGUGUGGUAAAACAAACUUUGUGUGCUGCCUAAAUGCAUGAUCCUUUGCCCUUUGGGAGCUUCGGUAUUUGAAUUAAAUUUUCUUCAUUAGUCUAUUAACAUUUUGUUUGGAAGGGUACAGCAUUAUCCCCAUCCACUACAGAAGCCAGCAGUUAGGCUACUCAGAAAGAUGGUUAUGCUUCCAGUAUGAGAGAGUUACAGGUUUCUCCAUCCAGGGUUAGCUCAGAGGGUCACUAUAGCAGCAGGAGGCACAGGCUCAGACAGUGAGCAAGCAGAAUGGAGUGAGGCAUCUGGAAAAAAAACAAAACAAGUACGCUGAACAUCUAAUUUGUUCUUGUUUUUGCGAGUUAAGUGAUGUAGGCAUAAAAACCAGAAUUUUCAGUUUGCAGCACCUAUGUUUGUCCUAAUAGGCCCCGCGCAUAAAUAGAUUCAGUGAAGUGCUUAAUGUAAGCUUUUCUAUGCUUGGAUUGGGCAAUCACAUGUUUCUCAGCUGAGUGCAAAUACAGUCCAUUAUUUUCUAAACGGGCUUGAAAUUCAUGAAUACAGCAAACACCCAAGAUGAAGUGGAUUAUCUCUUUCAUUUUCUAUGCCUGCUUUUCACCUUAGCAAUCUUCUUUCCUUCUAACUUAUUUUUAUCUUUAUGUAAUUUCCACACAUAUACAAAGGCUUCACUGUAUAUAGCUUUCUUGUUAUGCUCUAAUGUUCAGAGGUUUGUGAAACUGUUUCAGAAGAUGUGAGUAUACAAGAUCUUUGAAGUCUUGCUCAGAAUGAAAGGAGUUGCAGUGCUAUUACCAAUGCUGAUAUUUUGAUGAAGUGAUGCAUCUUCUGAUCCAAACAGGCUAUUCUGCAGUCUUUGCAUCUGAGACGUAAAUUUAUAUUUCUAAAUGUUUCUAAAUCUAUGUGACUACACAAAAUGUUUUAUAAUAGUUUUCUUUGUGUCUAAGUGUUUUGCUUUGUGUGGUGCCAGAUGAAGGACACUUUCUAAACUAGCAUAUGUUGUAGCAUUAUGUGUCUGAUCUGUAUGGAUUACCAUAGCUUCUUAAUCUGACUGUACAUAACUAUCUUAAAAGCUGUAUACUAAAAGGCUAAAGUGUAAUAUUUAGGGCACUUUGCAGGUAAAUGUGUAAUGUAUAUCUUAAGGUGGUAACCACAGCUGCAGCGACACUUCACAAUUAAUAAUAAUAAUAAUAAUAAUAAAUGAUUAAUUGCUAAU